rnacentral:rRNA from 1 species
UUUCGCCGCGAAUUCGCCCUUAGAGUUUGAUUAUGGCUCAAGAUAAACGCUGGCGGCAUGCCUAACACAUGCAAGUCGAACGGGGUUUAUAUGAUGGAACUCUCCGGAGGGAAGACAUGUAAACCUAGUGGCGGACGGGUGAGUAACGCGUGGGGAACCUGCCCUGUACCGGGGGACAACAGCCAGAAAUGGCUGCUAAUACCGCAUAAUCCUGCGCUGCCGCAUGGCAGCGCAGGGAAAACUCCGGUGGUACAGGAUGGUCCCGCGUCUGAUUAGCUUGUUGGCGGGGUAACGGCCCACCAAGGCGACGAUCAGUAGCCGGCUUGAGAGAGCGGACGGCCACAUUGGGACUGAGACACGGCCCAGACUCCUGCGGGAGGCAGCAGUGGGGAAUAUUGCACAAUGGGGGGAACCCUGAUGCAGCAAUGCCGCGUGGGUGAAGAAGUACCCCGGUAUGUAAAGCCCUGUCAGCAGGGAAGAAAAUGACGGUACCUGACUAAGAAGCCCCGGCUAACUACGUGCCAGCAGCCGCGGUAAUACGUAGGGGGCGAGCGUUAUCCGGAUUUACUGGGUGUAAAGGGAGCGCAAGCGGCGUGGCAAGUCAGAUGUGAAAACCCGGGGCCCAACCCCGGGACUGCAUUUGAAACUGCCAUGCUGG